rnacentral:tRNA from 1 species
GGGCUCGUAGCUCAGCCUGGUAGAGCACCACCCUUGCAAGGUGGGGGCCUCGGGUUCAAAGGGGGUUGUGUUAAUAACACACUCUUGAAUCUCCCGACGAGUCCA